GUGCUUACCUGGCAGGGGAGUUAAUGUGGUCACAGAACUAAGGUUGUUUUUUGUUUUUGUUUUUCCCCAGAAUGGGACUGAACUCUUAGACUCUAAUGUGCUUACCUCUGAGAUUUUUCCAAAGAUGAGGAACUCCACUGCAUAGUUUUGGGCAAGUGUAUUCACAUUCAUC